rnacentral:rRNA from 1 species
AUUAAAGUUGUUGCAGUUAAAAAGCUCGUAGUUGGAUUUCUGGUUUGACAUGCCUGGCCCGCCACGGUUACGAGUGUGAGUGCCGGCGCGUGUCUGCCAUCCUUCUGGAAAACGUGUCUACCCUUCACUGGGCCGGAUACGCGAUCCAGAUCAUUUACUUUGAAAAAAUUAGAGUGUUUAAAGCAGGCUUUUUGCUAUGUAUACAUUAGCAUGGAAUAAUAAUUUAGGACUUUGGCCCUAUUUUGUUGGUUUCUAGGACUGAAGUAAUGAUUGAUAGGGAUAGUUGGGGGUGCUCGAAUUCAGCGGCCAGAGGUGAAAUUCUUGGAUUCGCUGAAGACGAACUCAUGCGAAAGCAUUCACCAAGGAUGUCUUCUUUAAUCAAGAACGAAAGUUGGGGGAUCGAAGACGAUCAGAUACCGUCGUAGUCUCAACCAUAAACUAUGCCGACUAGGGAUCAGCGAACGUUGAAUUUUUGACUUCGUUGGCACCUUAUGAGAAAUCAAAGUCUUUGGGUUCCGGGGGAGUAUGGUCGCAAGGCUGAAACUUAAAGGAAUUGACGGAAGGGCACCACCAGGAGUGGAGCCUGCGGCUUAAUUUGACCAACACGGGAAAACUUACCAGGUCCGGACAUAGUGAGGAUUGACAGAUUGAAGAUCUUUCUUGAUUCUAUGGGUGGUGGUGCAUGGCCGUUCUUAGUUGGUGGAGUGAUUUGUCUGGUUAAUUCCGUUAACGAACGAGACCUCGACCUGCUAAAUAGUUUCAUAAAUCCUUCGGGAUUUGCUGUAGACUUCUUAGAGGGACUAUCGGUGUGUAGCCGAUGGAAGUUCGAGGCAAUAACAGGUCUGUGAUGCCCUUAGAUGCCCUGGGCCGCACGCGCGCUACACUGAUGCGUUCAUCGAGCUUACAACCUUGACUGAAAGGUCUGGGUAAUCUUUUGAAAUCGCAUCGUGCUGGGGAUAGAUGAUUGUAAUUAUUCAUCUUCAACGAGGAAUUCCUAGUAAACGCAAGUCAUUAGCUUGCAUUGAUUACGUCCCUGCCCUUUGUACACACCGCCCGUCGCUGCUACCGAUUGAGCGAUUUGAUGAACCUCAGGGACUGCUGCUCUUGGUUGGGUUUCCUUCCUUGGGUUGGCGGGAACUGAUGUGAAUCUACUCGCUUAGAGGAAGCAAAAGUCGUAACAAGGUUUCCGUAGGUGAACCUGCGGAAG